CGCGUAGGCGGAUGUUUAAGUCAGAGGUGAAAGCCCAGGGCUCAACCUUGGAAUUGCCUUUGAUACUGGACAUCUUGAGUACGGGAGAGGUGAGUGGAACUCCGAGUGUAGAGGUGAAAUUCGUAGAUAUUCGGAAGAACACCAGUGGCGAAGGCGACUCACUGGCCCGUUACUGACGCUGAGGCGCGAAAGCGUGGGGAGCAAACAGGAUUAGAUACCCUGGUAGUCCACGCUGUAAACGAUGAGUGCUAGUUGUCGGCAUGCAUGCAUGUCGGUGACGCAGCUAACGCGUUAAGCACUCCGCCUGGGGAGUACGGUCGCAAGAUUAAAA
rnacentral:rRNA from 1 species